GAUGCUGAUUUAACCAAGAGGCUUGCACACUUGAAAAAAGCUUCUUUAUUGUGUGAAUGGUGAAUUUGCUCAGUACCUCAGAUUUGACAAUCAUCCACAUGUCAAAACCUGUGGACAUGGAUUGAAAUUAAAACACAGGUAGGUCCGCAAGACUGGUUUGUUUCUCUUUUUGGCGUUUAUAUCAGUGAGCUAACGUCACAUAACAGCUU
rnacentral:misc_RNA from 1 species